rnacentral:rRNA from 1 species
CCACCACUAAGCCAGUGGUGAACUCCACAUACGCAUCCUUUGCUGAGGAUACGGUUAACGGAGCGAAAGCGACGUUCAACCUCAAAAGAAGCAGAGGGGGCUUAGUGGUGGGGUGACUGCGUACCUUUUGUAUAAUGGGUCAGCGACUUAUAUUCUGUAGCAAGGUUAACCGAAUAGGGGAGCCGGAGGGAAACCGAGUCUUAAUUGGGCGUUAAGUUGCAGGGUAUAGACCCGAAACCCGGUGAUCUAGCCAUGGGCAGGUUGAAGGUUGGGUAACACUAACUGGAGGACCGAACCGACUAAUGUUGAAAAAUUAGCGGAUGACCUGUGGCUGGGGGUGAAAGGCCAAUCAAACCGGGAGAUAGCUGGUUCUCCCCGAAAGCUAUUUAGGUAGCGCCUCGUGAAUUCAUCUCCGGGGGUAGAGCACUGUUUCGGCUAGGGGGCCAUCCCGGCUUACCAACCCGAUGCAAACUGCGAAUACCGGAGAAUGUUAUCACGGGAGACACACGGCGGGUGCUAACGUCCGUCGUGAAGAGGGAAACAACCCAGACCGCCAGCUAAGGUCCCAAAGUCAUGGUUAAGUGGGAAACGAUGUGGGAAGGCCCAGACAGCCAGGAUGUUGGCUUAGAAGCAGCCAUCAUUUAAAGAAAGCGUAAUAGCUCACUGGUCGAGUCGGCCUGCGCGGAAGAUGUAACGGGGCUAAACCAUGCACCGAAGCUGCGGCAGCGAACGUAUCACUUAAAGCGAUUCAGCGGGUUACGAUUGACGGAGCGAAGCGACGUCAAAGCGUAUACAAAGUCGAGUCGGUUUAAGGAUACGUUCGUUGGGUAGGGGAGCGUUCUGUAAGCCUGUGAAGGUGGCCUGUGAGGGUUGCUGGAGGUAUCAGAAGUGCGAAUGCUGACAUAAGUAACGAUAAAGCGGGUGAAAAGCCCGCUCGCCGGAAGACCAAGGGUUCCUGUCCAACGUUAAUCGGGGCAGGGUGAGUCGACCCCUAAGGCGAGGCCGAAAGGCGUAGUCGAUGGGAAACGGGUUAAUAUUCCCGUACUUGGUGUUACUGCGAAGGGGGGACGGAGAAGGCUAUGUUGGCCGGGCGACGGUUGUCCCGGUUUAAGCGUGUAGGUGUGUGUUCCAGGUAAAUCCGGUUCACUUUAACACUGAGGCGUGAUGACGAGG